AUAUCCCCUGGAUGAGAGCGUGGCAACUCACUCCAGUAUUCUUGCCUGGAGAAUCCCAUGGAUAGAGGAGCCUGGCGGGCUACAGUCCAUGGAGUCAACUGAAGUGACUUAGCACACAGCACACAUAAGAACUCAACUUGGAAUUGUCAAGCUCUCACCUCUGCCUUUUUCUACAGCCAAAGAAAGUCACAGGGCUCAACCUGAACUCAAGGAGUGGUGUUGACUAUGUUUGAAGUUGGCUGCAAAGAUGUAAACUGACUGAUUUCAAUGUAAGAAGACUACUAGACACAAAAUCUUCCUCUUUUCCCAGAUUUCAAGUCUUUCCCAGCAUCAGGGACUUUUCCAACGAGUCUAUUUGCAUCGAGUGACCAGGAUACUGGAGCUGCAGCUUGAGCAUCAGUCCUUCCAUUUCACCGACCAAUGGGAUCUCCCAAAGGAAAAUAUGAAACUCUCCAGCUGUCACUGCUGUGUUUGAAUCCAUCUUUGUGUCUUGGACAGAAGAAAUAGCUGAAAGGCAUGGACAAAUUUGGAAGACUUUUUAAAAGAGAAACAAAAAUGAGCAGUCCAAAGGAAGAAGGAAUUAGACUCAAAGCAAACUGUGAAUCCAUCUCCGUAGGGCUCACCAUGUCCCUUGGGAAAAUACAUUUCUGCAUCAUUCUCUGAAGCAAAUAUAGAGUAUAUCAUUGUUUCUAUCCAUGAGGAGCUAGGGCCUGGAAGAGAGAAUAUGUCUUCCAGAAGCAGCUCUCCUCACCUACAUUCAUGUUUCUCAAACUAGGACAGACCCACUCCUGGGAACCAAGGUCGAGAGUUAGAGGUAUCUUAUGUGUAACAACAAAAAAGUGUAGGGGGGUUAUAUUUUUAAAAAUAUACAACAUUUAUUGAGCAUACAUUGUAACAUUAUGCACAAUAAUAAUUUUCACAUUAAACCAAUGAGGCAGUUUAUUUGUUGUUGUUAUUUCAUGUUUUUCUACUGAUGAGGAAAGUGAAGCUCAAAGUGAUGUAAAUAACUUCUCCAAGGGCUUGAAGCUAGUGAAUGGAAAAGUGGGAUUCAAACCCAAGAUGCUUAAUUACAAAGCCUGACUCCUUAUCUCUUCUGUCUAAUCAAUAUUAAGCAGUAAUAAGUAAGAUAUAGUUUAUUAAAACGAAUUGGCUAUACCUUAUUGUUGAAUAAUUAUCAUGUUUUCUGUUGCUGCUACUGUUUUAGACAACUUUCUGUUUCAUGAUGAGUUAAUUUAGCCUGUAUAAUCAGACCCAGUGUUAUGGAGCAUCAUCUCUCUCAGCAGAGAUAUUUCUACUGGAAUUUUGAGAAAUACUGUUGAAAGCUUUUUUUUUUUUUUUUUAGUGGAAAUAAAGCUAUUUAAAUUUU